UACGGAGGGGACUAGCGUUGUUCGGAAUUACUGGGCGUAAAGCGCACGUAGGCGGAUUUGUAAGUCAGGGGUGAAAUCCCGGGGCUCAACCUCGGAACUGCCUUUGAUACUGCAAAUCUCGAGUCUGGAAGAGGUGAGUGGAAUUCCUAGUGUAGAGGUGAAAUUCGUAGAUAUUAGGAAGAACACCAGUGGCGAAGGCGGCUCACUGGUCCGGUACUGACGCUGAGGUGCGAAAGCGUGGGGAGCAAACAGG
rnacentral:rRNA from 1 species